UACGGAGGGUGCAAGCGUUAUCCGGAUUCACUGGGUUUAAAGGGUGCGUAGGAGGGCAGGUAAGUCAGUGGUGAAAUCCCCGAGCUUAACUUGGGAACUGCCGUUGAUACUAUCUGUCUUGAAUAUUGUGGAGGUAAGCGGAAUAUGUCAUGUAGCGGUGAAAUGCUUAGAUAUGACAUAGAACACCAAUUGUGAAGGCAGCUUACUACACAAUCAUUGACUCUGAUGCACGAAAGCGUGGGGAUCAAACAGG
rnacentral:rRNA from 1 species